UACAGAGGGUGCAAGCGUUAAUCGGAGUUACUGGGCGUAAAGGGCGCGUAGGCGGUUAUUUAAGUUGGAUGUGAAAGCCCUGGGCUUAACCUAGGAACUGCAUUCAAUACUGGGUAACUAGAGUACUGUAGAGGGUAGUGGAAUUUCCGGUGUAGCGGUGAAAUGCGUAGAGAUCGGAAGGAACACCAGUGGCGGAGGCGGCUACCUGGACAGAUACUGACGCUGAGGCGCGAGAGCGUGGGGAGCAAACAGG
rnacentral:rRNA from 1 species